rnacentral:lncRNA from 1 species
GUGGGAGUGUAGACUGGUGCAUCCACUAUGAAAAGCAGUGUGGAGGUUUUUUAAAAAAAAUCUAGGAUUAGAGGUUCCAUUUGACCCACCUAGUCCCCUGCUGGGUAUUUUUCCAAAAGCAUUAGAAACAUCACACCACAGUGAUAUAUGUGCACUUAUAUUUAUGAUGUCACAAUGUGUAAUAGCUAAGUCUUGGAAACAAUCCAAAUGCCCAUCAAUUGGUGACUGGAUAAAGAAGACGUGCUUUCAAAAAAUAAAAAAAAUGAAGUACUACUCAGUCAUAAAGAAUGAUGAACUAGAGACAUUUAUAGAUAAAUGGAUGCAUAUAGAAGUCCUACUGGUAAGAGAAAUAAAUAGGUCACACACGUAAAUACUGAAUUGUCUCUCUGGUGUGAGAAACUGAAAUUGUAAAAGAAAGCCAAAGUGUAUAACAGAUAAUCUGAAAUAGGAAACAAAGUUUUAAGGGUGAAGAGGAAUUUGGGGUGGGGGAGAAAAUAAAGAAAAACAUAAGAGAAAAGAAGGAAACAAUAGAACCAAGCUUUUGUAAAUAAGGAGAGGUAGAGGGGUGGAAGAAAGAAGAGGAAUGGGAACAAACAAGAAUUAUGAUGUAUCAUGUACAGGUGUUCUUUGUGACCCUAGUGGAGAAGCAAAUCAUGAAACACAGCCUAGACUCAAGGCAGAAGAGAUUAUAAAGGGGAUGGAUAUCAGCAAGUCAGCCCCACUAAGAGCCACCUUAAAGACAGAUACUAAAAUACACAAUUCACAGAUAAAAGACAUUACAAAAUGUGAUACACACUUCCCCACCCCUAGAAGUAGCUUAAAAAUAUAA